GAAGUUACUACUUGAAUUAAUAAUUGCAUCAGAUUGUUUUAACAUUAAUAUAUAAUCAAUACAAUCUGAGGUCUGCUUCCAGGAGUCAAAAGCUCUCCUUCUGAUAUCACACAACAAACCAGACAUACGAUGCAACCACCAAAGCUGUCAGCCAGUGGCAUCAGGACUGCUUGGAACAAUGGAUGCUGAACAAUGUUAGGAAGACUUUCCUAAAAGAUUCUCUGAUGGGAGUGAGGGCAUAUCAUGAUGGGAUUCAUGAUCAGUGCUGGCUGAAGACACUGUUCCUGGCAGCAGCUGUGGCAGCUACAGAGAAGUGGAUGGGGCAGAAUAAGACAUAACUGUCACAAAAAUCAGCAGCUGGAAGCACCUUAUGCCUGCACACAAGAAGUCACCUGUAUUACCAGCAGGGUUGAAGAACCAUGUCACUAAUUCUUAAUAUAAAGCUGCAAAAUGGUCAUCUUGGACAGAAGAUAAGUGCUCCCAUAAUAUCCCUUUCUUUAAACUGGGUAAUAGGAAACAUCAUUGCAUCUGCAAGCUGAGUUGAAAGUACUGCAUGGCAAGAGCUGAGCUGAAAAAGACAAGAAAAAGAAUGAAAUCUUAGGAAAACAAUGCUCAGACCAAAUCCAAUCAAUCAUGGUAGGUUGCCAUCAAUGUCACUCAAAAAUGACAUGUACUUAAACUACAUAACUUAAACAUCAUUUUGCACAUUCCUUUUUUUGCAGCUAACUUUUUUUAGGUUCCAGAUCUCACCACUAGUUAUCUACAGAAGACUAAACUUUAGAGUUUAGUUUUUAUCCAAACUUUUCAAACCUUAUUUCAAGUUACUGGAUUAUGUCUAAAGAUGGCCUCACGCAUUCAGUUUACUUCUCCAGUUUCUCUCCAGCCACCUCACAGCCUGUCUUUCACAGUUUACAGAGGUAGAACAAAAUAUGUUCCUCCUCCCAAAAUGCUGUUUAAGUAGGGUUAAAAGUGAGGAGCUGGAUCACA